GAUGAACGCUAGCGGCAGGCUUAACACAUGCAAGUCGAGGGGCAGCACGAGUAGCAAUACUUGGUGGCGACCGGCGCAAGGGUGCGUAACGCGUGAGCAACAUGCCCGUAUCAGGGGGAUAAUCCAGGGAAACUUGGUCUAAUACCCCAUAGUAAUCAUAUCAGGCAUCUGGUAUGAUUUAAAGCUUAGGUGGAUACGGAUUGGCUCGCGUGACAUUAGCUAGAUGGUAAGGUAACGGCUUACCAUGGCUAUGAUGUCUAGGGGUUCUGAGAGGAAGGUCCCCCACACUGGAACUGAGACACGGUCCAGACUCCUACGGGAGGCAGCAGUGGGGAAUAUUGCACAAUGGGCGAAAGCCUGAUGCAGCAACGCCGCGUGAGCGAUGAAGGCCUUGGGUCGUAAGCUCUGUCCUAUGGAAGAUAAUGACGGUACCAUAGGAGGAAGCCCCGGCUAACUACGUGCCAGCAGCCGCGGUAACG
rnacentral:rRNA from 1 species